rnacentral:lncRNA from 1 species
AAAUACGUAAGCCAUACAAAAUCAAUGUAUUCAAAUAUAGUUCAUACAUGAGAUAUGUAUAAAAGACAUAUAUACAUAUAUAUACAUAUAUACAUAUAUAUACAUACAUAUAAAGAUGUAUAUAUAUGUAUAUAUACAUAUAUAUACAUAUAUACAUACACAUGUAUGUAUGUAUAUAAAUGUUUAUAUAAAUAUAAAUGUAUAUAAAUGUUUAUGUAAAUAUAUAUACAUAUACAUACAUAAAUAUAUAUACAUAUAUAUACAUGUAUAUAAGUAUAUACAUACAUACAUAUAUACAUGUAUAUACGUAUAUAUAUACAUGUAUAUAUACAUAUUAUAUUCUAUAUAUAUAGUAUAUAUAUGUAUAUUAUAUAAUAUACAUAUAUAUGUAUAUAUAUGUGUAUAUAUAUAUAUGAUGUUAUCUA